GCCUGGGUGGCUCAGUCGGUUAAGCGUCCGACUUCAGCUCGGGUCACAAUCUCGUGGUCCGUGAGUUCGAGCCCCGCGUCAGGCU
rfam:Felis catus isolate Cinnamon breed Abyssinian chromosome A3, whole genome shotgun sequence.